GUCAGUGUUUAAUCAAAAAUGUUAAAGAAAUGAAUGAAAUAAUAAUUUUAAAAAAUUGGUUGAUCAAUUUAGUUUAAUACAGGUUCUCAUAUUCAUGGCUUUAUUUUCCUGUAAGGUGACAAGUGAUAAUCUCAAAGUUUUCUGGAUUUCUUAUCAUUCUUAUAUGAUUACUUGCUCUUUUUUUUCCUACUGUGGGUUUUAGUCCAUCAUCCAGAUGGUGGUGGUUGAGGAGAUUCCCUCGCCCCCAUACAAUGAAUAGCGCUUUGAUUUUACAGGCUUGGUUGGUUUCAAAGGAUUUUACGAGGACGAGCUCGUGGCUCAUUGUUACUGUUACAUUUAUUUUUUCUUUCAGGUGGUAGGUUUGAGCUAUAUGGCGGUAGGUUGGCGGUAUAUGGCGGUAUAUGGCGGCAGGUAGAGUUCGACGUCGAUGAAGGUCUUCUUCGCUUAGCCUCUACGGUUUGUGGCUCCUUGCUUCCUUUAAAUUUAUUAUUUUUUUCUUUCAGGUGGCAGGUGGAGUUAGACGGCAGUAGGGAACCAUAGAGAAAGCCAGAUGGCGCAAAAUUCAGGAAAUUUUUUUUACAAAAUAUAGUUAUUUCUAUUUGCUCUUGUACAUAAAGUUGAAAGAACAAAGCUAUAUAAAAUAAAGCUCAAGCUGACAGGUUUUCUUUUGGGUUGCACCAUGUAUUCAUUCAUCAGUAUCUUCACAAAUAAACCCAGUCACUACACAUUAAGACGGUGAUUAAACCUCAUUCUUUUGUCUUUACAAAUAGAGAUAUUUACAUGGAUGGGCGGCCAUUCAGAGUGAUCAUUCUGUAAUAUCUUUCUUUUGUCUCUAUAGAUAAAGAGAUAGUUGCAUUGCUGGGCGAACAUUAUCACCUGAUUUUGUGAGAAAUGACAUUUGCAGGAAACACCCACUUUUUGCAAACGUCUGCUGUAAUUGCUAACAUUUAAACAUUCAGCCUACAAUAAAUAAUAAGUCUAUUCAAUGAAAGUAAAGGUCAGUGUUUAAUCAAAAAUGUUAAAGAAAUGAAUGAAAUAAUAAUUUAAAAAAAUUGGUUGAUCAAUUUAGUUUAAUACAGGUUCUCAUAUUCAUGGCUUUAUUUUCCUGUAAGGUGACAAGUGAUAAUCUCAAAGUUUUCUGGAUUUCUUAUCAUUCUUAUAUGAUUACUUGCUCUUUUUUUCCUACUGUGGGUUUUAGUCCAUCAUCCAGAUGGUGGUGGUUGAGGAGAUUCCCUCGCCCCCAUACAAUGAAUAGCGCUUUGAUUUUACAGGCUUGGUUGGUUUCCAAGGAUUUUACGAGGACGAGCUCGUGGCUCAUUGUUACUGUUACAUUUAUUUUUUCUUUCAGGUGGUAGGUUUGAGCUAUAUGGCGGUAGGUUGGCGGUAUAUGGCAGUAUAUGGCGGCAGGUAGAGUUCGACGUCGAUUAAGGUCUUCUUCGCUUAGCCUCUACGGUUUGUGGCUCCUUGCUUCCUUUAAAUUUAUUAUUUUUUUCUUUCAGGUGGCAGGUGGAGUUAGACGGCAGUAGGGAACCAUAGAGAAAGCCAG
ensembl:lncRNA